UCUCCAUGCUAGUUGCAUCCUCUACGGUC
rnacentral:sRNA from 1 species